ACAAGACUAACAAUAAAUAACAAGCAAGCUGGCUAUCUAUCCUGAGGUUCUAUAACUACACUCAUCAUCCACCCUCUUCGCUCUCCAUUCCUCUCCUGUUCCCCGCAAGCAUAUAAAAAAAUAGAAAAUGCAAAUUCCGUUUUGUGUGCCGCAGCAGGCCAUUAUUGCCACAGGAAGUCGUCCGGGGCGGGGGGCUCAGUGCCCACUGGCUGGUCUGGGAGGACCCGAUGUUAAAAUAAGUGAGCUAGCUAGGUUAGAGAUUGGGCGGCAGCUGGACAGAAGAUAUUAGUUGACUAGUUUAUUCAAAUCGAACAUCGAAAUGGGGGGGAUCCUCGUCUGGGCUGAAGAUGUGCGUGCAGGAUGGAUGCGGGCACCUGGGUUGGACUCAGGGCAGUUAAGGCCCUUGGUCGUUUGCUUUUUAAUUUAUAUAUAUAUAUAUACUUUGGAUCUUUUGUUUUAUUUUGCGUCAUGUAAGUAAUCCGUGUGUAUGUAGGUACAUGUACAUGUACAUGUACAUGUACUGUACAUAGUAAAUAUUUAAAAGAGC
rnacentral:sRNA from 1 species